GAUGAACGCUGGCGGCGUGCCUAAUACAUGCAAGUCGAGCGAACGGACGAGAAGCUUGCUUCUCUGAUGUUAGCGGCGGACGGGUGAGUAACACGUGGGUAACCUACCUAUAAGACUGGGAUAACUUCGGGAAACCGGAGCUAAUACCGGAUAAUAUUUUGAACCGCAUGGUUCAAAAGUGAAAGACGGUCUUGCUGUCACUUAUAGAUGGAUCCGCGCUGCAUUAGCUAGUUGGUAAGGUAACGGCUUACCAAGGCAACGAUGCAUAGCCGACCUGAGAGGGUGAUCGGCCACACUGGAACUGAGACACGGUCCAGACUCCUACGGGAGGCAGCAGUAGGGAAUCUUCCGCAAUGGGCGAAAGCCUGACGGAGCAACGCCGCGUGAGUGAUGAAGGUCUUCGGAUCGUAAAACUCUGUUAUUAGGGAAGAACAUAUGUGUAAGUAACUGUGCACACCUUGACGGUACCUAAUCAGAAAGCCACGGCUAACUACGUG
rnacentral:rRNA from 1 species